rnacentral:misc_RNA from 1 species
GCCGUAGGGGAACCUGCGGCUGGAUCACCUCCUUUCUAGAGAACAGCAGAGGCGAAGCACCCACACCUAUCGGUAAUCACACAGAUGCGGAGAAGCACCUUGGGUUUGUAGCUCAGCUGGUUAGAGCACACGCUUGAUAAGCGUGGGGUCGGAGGUUCAAGUCCUCCCAGACCCACCAGAGGCUCAAGUCGGAAGAAAAGCGCAAGCCGAGUAUUGAGAGACAGGGGGCAUAGCUCAGUUGGUAGAGCACCUGCUUUGCAAGCAGGGGGUCAUCGGUUCGAUCCCGUUUGCCUCCACCACACACCAAGAACUUCUCAAAUCAAAGUAUCCUCUUUCAGGUAGCCUGGAAGGGUAGGAUAUUUUGAUUUGAGAAGCGAAAGCAACGCAUCGAUCUUUAACAAAUUGGCAAGCCGAAAUCAAUAAACAAACGAAGUAGAUCGGUUGGCAGAGGAGAUGGUAGCGAUAUUAUCUUCACUAGCCUGUUUUAAAUAACACGCCGAGCUAUAGAUAUUUGGGUAAUGAUUGUAUCGACCGGAUCCUGAAACACAAAAGGCAGGAUUCGGGCACAACAAGCAGUAAGCUUUAUCAAAGUAGAGUCCUUAAGCCCCGACUGAAGUCAACGCAGGGAGGGCAAAGUCAGAAAGGCACUUCAAAUGAUAGAGUCAAGUGAAUAAGUGCAUCAGGUGGAUGCCUUGGCGAUGAUAGGCGACGAAGGACGUGUAAGCCUGCGAAAAGCAUCGGGGAGCUGGCAAUAGAGCUUUGAUCCGGUGAUGU